ensembl:snRNA U6 U6 spliceosomal RNA
GUGCUCACUUCAACAGCACAUAUACUAAAUUUAGAAAUAUACAGAGUAGAUUAACAUGGCCCCUGUGCAAAGAUUACAUGAAAUUACAUUAAGUAUUUCAUAUUUUU